AGCUUCAGAUUGGUUUGGACAGAUGUCUGAAGGCUGUAUAGCCCCAUGACCUUCCCUGCUAAUCCCAGGUAUUUCCUUCUCUUUAUGUCUUCCUACGGUCUACCCCUUCUCUCCUCUGGUUCUCCCAUUUCCUCUCUCUCCCUGAUGCACCCUCUAUCAUCAGGCAUCAGCAGCGGGGUUGGAUUCCGCUCCUGCAGCUUCUAUAGAUGCCCUUGGGAUGAUGUCACAUUGAAGAUUAAUGGAAGCAGCAGUUCCAAAUACUAUAUAAAGAUAUCACAAGUAGACUCUUUGGAAAGAAGCACACCAAGUUUCAAGGAACUACAUUGUGGCUUUUAUACUUAUGGAGGCUGGGAAAGAUCAGAGAGACCCCAAAACUACAGCUGGAAUUGAUCACACUGGAAACAUUUAAAUUCCUCUUUUGCAAUGAUUUAGGUUAAGAGUUUCUAAACAUGGAAUAUAAGCUGUCCAAACUUCUGCAAGCAAGUACGGAUCCGUUCAUUCUGUUAAGUGAAAUUUACAGCCCACUGAGGGAAAGAUAUCAACCAGACAAGUUUGCAGGUAGGCUUAGUGGGAAUAUCUGGGCUUCUAAAGAGACAGAAUAAUUUAAAAAAAAAAUUCAUACUUGGGCAUAGUUGAUCCUAGCUGCUUGAAUUCAGCAGUUUUACAGAAGCUUUAGAUACAUUAAUUUUACUGUCUCCAUUUAUUAAAAUAGCAUUUGCCCCCAAAGGCCACACAGAAGAUAAACUUGUCAUAACAACUCCAGAACUAAUAGAAGCCCAAGUUCAAGGUAUACUUCAGAUCUGUGUUGCUAUUUGAAGACCAAAUUGUCUUAUUUCUCAGCUUCAUCUCUUGCAAACCUGUUUCCUGAAGUGGUUAAUUUAAUAAAAGCUAUUUCGAUGGUACCCACAUGAUAAUGAGUAUCAUCUCAAUCCUCUAUGUUGUAUGGAAACAUUGCUUUGGUUCACAAUGAGGUAAUCACAAUUUCACACAUAUACAAGACCAAUAUUGAGAACUUAAAUGUUAGAGAAGAUGCAGAAAGAAUUAAUUCAAAGAAUCCCAGGACAGAAAUCCUUCUUUUAGUCUUUUCCAGAUUCAAACCCUGAAUUUUAAUUGUUCUUAAAAUGUAAUUUGCUGCAAAGAGCAUUUUGCCAUGAGUGGGCUUUUCUUAUGCAUUGCAAAAAGUGAAAUAAAAGAUCUUUUCGGACAUCUUUAGGCUCAGGUUCUCGCAGCCUGUGUUCUUUGGUGUUAUUUAGACCAAGUAAAUGUCGGUAGUAUAAGUAGUGGUCUUGUAAUGCAGCUACUGAGCUGUUAGGAAGGAACCCAAACCUUGCAGUUGCCUUCCAUAAAAAAAUCAGUGCCUUCUUCAUCACGAGAAGUGCAGAGUUAGGCACCCUCUAGUUAGACCUUGCACUGAAGAGGAUCAUGUGUAAAAAGUUCUGCUCUAGGAAUAAAGUCUGCAAAGGGAACAAUACAAGCCACAAUUUUUCAAUAUGUUUUAAUACACAUCUUUGCAGGGUUGGGGGGGAAGAAAAAGAGAUUUCCAAAUUCACAACAUAUUAAA